rnacentral:rRNA from 1 species
AGUGGCGUGCGGGAAAUGUGGCGUGAGGAAGCCGUGGUCGACCGGGGACGUGGAGCCGACGUCCUUGUGAAGGAGGCUCUCAUCCCAUAGAGGGUGUUAGGCCCCCGCAGGCGCCCGUCGCCGGUGACCUUAAGGCUUCUAAGAGUCGGGUUGUUUUGGAAUGCAGCCCAAAGACGGGUGGUAAACUCCAUCCAAGGCUAAAUACAAGGCACGAGACCGAUAGAUAACAAGUACCAUGAGGGAAAGUUGAAAAGAACUUUGAAGAGAGAGUUCAAUAGGACGUGAAGCUGCCGAGAAGUAAACGGAAAGGCCCCGCACACCGUGGCCGGGAGAUUCAGCGCAAGUGGAGGUUUAGCGGCGCCCCGCUCCGUCUGCGGAUUCCCCUCGGGAACCCUGGCAGAGUGGGUCGAUGCAGCCGCCCGUCGCGCGCAUUUCUCCCGUGCCUCUGGGGUUGGUGACCGAUCGUUGAUCGGCCGAUUGGACGCGGCGAAGGCAGGUAGCUCACCCGGGUUUCGGCUCGGGAGGGAACGUAUAGUCUCGCCGUCCGCAUCGGUCGCAAGGUCGAGGAAAGAUGCCCACGUGCUGCGCCUGCUCGGGUCUUCGGACCGGGGCUGGAGCCGCCGGACUCCCGCUCGUGCGGCGUACGGGGACUGUCCUCAGUGCCCGCUCGCUCGUGCGGUCGAGAAAGGCCGGAUCGCCUCUCAGGCGCACGGGGU